CCUACGGGUGGCAGCAGUAGGGAAUCUUCCACAAUGGACGAAAGUCUGAUGGAGCGACGCCGCGUGAGUGAAGAAGGGUUUCGGCUCGUAAAGCUCUGUUGGUAGGGAAGAAAGUUAGAGGUAGUGACUGGCCUUUAUUUGACGGUAAUUACUUAGAAAGUGACGGCUAACUACGUGCGAGCAGCCGCGGUAAUACGUAGGUGGCAAGCGUUGUCCGGAUUGAUUGGGCGUAAAGGGAGUGCAGGCGGUUCAAUAAGUCUGAUGUGAAAGCCCUCGGCUCAACCGGAGAAUUGCAUCAGAAACUGUGGAACUUGAGUGCAGAAGAGGAGAGCGGAACUCCAUGUGUAGCGGUGGAAUGCGUAGAUAUAGGGAAGAACACCAGUGGCGAAGGCGGCUUUCUGGUCUGCAACUGACGCUGAGGCUCGAAAGCAUGGGGAGCGAACAGGAUUAGAUACCCGAGUAGUC
rnacentral:rRNA from 1 species